GAUGAACGCUGGCGGCGUGCCUAAUACAUGCAAGUCGAGCGAAAAGACGCGUACUUUGCUCGUCUGACGAUAGCCGAGGACGGGUGAGACACACGUGGAAACUCUACCUAUCUGACUGGGAUAACUGCGGGACACCGGCGAUAAUCCCGGAUGAUAUAUUGAACCACAUGGUUCAAUAGUGAAAGACGGUUUUGCUGUCACUUAUCGAUGGAUCUGCGCGGUAUUAGCUAGUUGGUAAGGUAACGGCUUACCAAGGCAACGAUGCGUAGCCGACGGGGGAGGGUGAUCGGCGACAUUGGAACGUAGACGCGGACAAGAGUCCUACGGGAGGCAGCAGUAGGGAAUGUUCCGCAGUGGGCGAAAGCCUGACGGAGCAGCGCCGCGUGAGUGAUGAAGGUGUUCGGAGCGUAAAACUCGGUUAUUAGUGAAGAACAAAUGUGGAUGGAACUGUGCACGUCUUGACGGUACCUAAUCAGAAAGCCACGGCUAACUACGUG
rnacentral:rRNA from 1 species